GACGAACGCUGGCGGCGUGCCUAAUACAUGCAAGUAGAACGCACAGUUUAUACCGUAGCUUGCUACACCAUAGACUGUGAGUUGCGAACGGGUGAGUAACGCGUAGGUAACCUGCCUGGUAGCGGGGGAUAACUAUUGGAAACGAUAGCUAAUACCGCAUAAUAUUGAUUAUUGCAUGAUAAUUAAUUGAAAGGUGCAAUUGCACCACUACCAGAUGGACCUGCGUUGUAUUAGCUAGUAGGUGAGGUAACGGCUCACCUAGGCGACGAUACAUAGCCGACCUGAGAGGGUGAUCGGCCACACUGGGACUGAGACACGGCCCAGACUCCUACGGGAGGCAGCAGUAGGGAAUCUUCGGCAAUGGACGAAAGUCUGACCGAGCAACGCCGCGUGAGUGAAGAAGGUUUUCGGAUCGUAAAGCUCUGUUGUAAGAGAAGAACGGGUGUGAGAGUGGAAAGUUCACACUGUGACGGUAGCUGACCAGAAAGGGACGGCUAACUACGUG
rnacentral:rRNA from 1 species